AGCAGUCCAGCCUACAUGUUCAACCUAAGGAGGAAACAAAAAAGAUACCUAUCAGAUAGCUAUUUGAAGCUCUGAUACAGCAUAGUAAAAUGUUUGAAGUUGAAUGCAGAAAAUCUGGAAUCUAUCUUGAAAAAGGUCUCCACUACCAGCUAUGGUCAAAGACCAGCCAAUAUGAAUAGCCAAGGCUCCAAAGCAAAUUUUGUGGAAGUUACAGCAACACAUUCUGCUGGAUUUCUUAGUAAAAUAACAACCAUUGAAAAUAAGAGUUAUGUUUCCCCCAUGCAUAGUCAGUAAAAAAAAGAAAGAUAAAUGAAAUUAUCAGGUCUUCGAUUCAGGGCCCAAGAAGGAAAGAUAGUAAAAGUACUUCUAUUCAUGGUUUAACUUACAAAUGG
rnacentral:misc_RNA from 1 species